rnacentral:rRNA from 1 species
AUGUCUGCCAUCAUCCAUCAAGACUUUGGACAACUGACAUUCUUCAAUGAUCGGUUCGAGUACCAAGGUACUCUGGAGCCGGAGACCAUCGUCCUUGAUGGUCAUGACAAGGAUGGCGAUCAUGUUCCUGUGCUUGAUAGGAAGAGGAAGAGGGGAGCCUUGAUGGAGGACAAGCUGAGCAUUUUCACCAACAUGAUUCAGGCCGUCAAGGAGGUCGCAAGCGCCAUCAGGGAGAGCAAGCCGGUAGAUGUCCAACCUGACCUCUACAACACCGUCAUGGACCAAGGUGGCUUCAGCCCAGAGGCUCUCAUGGUGACUCUGAGCUACCUGCUGGAUAACAAAGCCCGGGGUGUUGGGUUUCUUGCCAUGGGAGACGCCCACAGGGUGCAGCCUAGUGGGUUGUCGAUGAAGAUUCCAGGCGUUGCCUGGGUGUUGCUGGCUCUUCUGCUCGUCGUGGCGCUAGGUUGCAAAGAGACAACCUGCCAAAACGGUCGGCGAUUAAGUCAUGGCUCCCAAAAGUGA